rnacentral:rRNA from 1 species
UACGGAGGGUGCAAACGUUGCUCGGAAUCAUUGGGCGUAAAGCGCACGUAGGCGGUCCGUUAAGUCGGGUGUGAAAUCCCUCGGCUCAACCGAGGAAGUGCAUUCGAAACUGGCGGACUUGAAUAUGGAAGAGGGUCGUGGAAUUCCCGGUGUAGAGGUGAAAUUCGUAGAUAUCGGGAGGAACACCAGUGGCGAAGGCGGCGACCUGGGCCAAUAUUGACGCUGAGGUGCGAAAGCGUGGGGAGCAAACAGGAUUGAG